GGGGGCCGGGGGGCAGGCGGGUCUCUGGGUAGUAACUGACGCUGAGGAGCGAAAGCGUGGGUAGCGAACAGGAUUAGAUACCCUGGUAGUCCACGCCGUAAACGGUGGGUACUAGGUGUGGGUUCCUUUUCACGGGAUCCGUGCCGUAGCUAACGCAUUAAGUACCCCGCCUGGGGAGUACGGCCGCAAGGCUAAAACUCAAAGGAAUUGACGGGGGCCCGCACAAGCGGCGGAGCAUGUGGAUUAAUUCGAUGCAACGCGAAGAACCUUACCUGGGUUUGACAUACACCAGACCCAGGCGAGAGAUGUAGGUUCCCUUGUGGUAGGUGUACAGGUGGUCGCAUGGCUGUCGUCAGCUACGGUA
rnacentral:rRNA from 1 species